CGUGGGUAAGGGGCAGGGGCUGGAGCCAGAAAAGGAAGAGACGGUGCUGACUGUAACGGUUCCCCUGCUUUCUCCUUGCUCCGCAAAGAACAAUACUUUCCCCAACUACCCUGGAGGAUCCUAGAGCAGCCGGGCUUGGGAACCGGGACGGAGGCGUGGCUCGCGGUAGCACCACCCACUCCCGCCCCCCAGUCCCAGAGUGCAGUGCGCAAGGAACGUCCCAGGGUUCCUCGCGGCGCCGCAGAUCAGCCCCUCCUUUGGGACGUCACCCCAGGGCGGGGGACCCACAGGGCUUCAGCCAAGGUCAAGAGCUGGGUCAGGAAGCCACCGCAGGACCCGAGGACGUAGGAAGCGCCUGCCGCGUGGAGCCUCACUAUUGGCCUGCCAGCAGGUCUUUAUCCAGAAGCAGCAAGAUAGUUAAAGAAUGGAAAUGGAUCAAGGGUGAAAUGGACAACGAAACCUGGCCACGAGCUCUAACGUGGCAGAAAUGGGCAGGCUGUGUGGGACGGAACCUGGAGCUCUCCAGGGAGUCCCUAGGUUUUGGGCUGAAGUACUUCUGGAAGCGAGUUGCCUCACUCUGCCUCAACCUGCCAUGGUGACAUGAGCCUCUUCAGAGAUGAACUGCUGUCGAGUGAGCCGUCUGUGAGCGCUUAAAGACUCCACACGGUACCACUGCCAGCCGGGGCCUUUUCCACUCAGCCUUAUUUCCUCCUUUCCAAGGCCUCGUGCUUCUCUAUACAGGUCAUCAAUCUUUAGAGCAAGAGGGUACCAAUAAAAUCAUCUAAUCCAGAACUUCCAGUUUUCAAAUGGGACUCUGAAGCCUGGGGUGGGUGGGCAGUGAUUUGCUGAGGUUUCUGCAGGUGCCUGCCAGAUUUGGAACUGGACCCACGUGUCCACUUUUCUAUUAAAACACACUGCCUCUCAGAAGAAGAGAACCAAAGCACGCCCCUGUGAAAGCUGCAACUAGCUGUCAGCCACAGAAACCUACGAGUGAACGAACACACGUUCUGAGGAUUAGAAAAAAGCCGGGGCGACGAGGGCUGGGUCCCUUUGAGGCAAAAUGAAUGUAGAUCGCAUGUGCCUAGCGGGGUAUGUGCUCCUCCAUCCCAAGCUUUAGUUCUCCCUGUUACGUAUCCUUUGCAGUUCAGGGCUGGCUGACCAUUUUCUGGGGGAGAAUUUGGGGGAAGGCUGUCCACCAGAGCAGCAAAUACUCACUGUUUAUGGUACCUGCUAGUGCAUUAAUAUUAUUCAGUCCGACAGUGGCUCCCGCCAGCCCUUGCAGAGUCCCAAGAGAGGUCAGAGAAUUCAUGGCCGCACCAGCACUGGAGUUGGGGGUUGAAGCAGCCACUGAAAAACAAAACAAGACAGGAAAACGGGGAGAGAAAACACAAGAUGAGUGAAGGCCAAGUGGCCCGGAAAGUAAUCGUCCUCUCCACGGCAGCUGGAGCUGGGGGCUGAACUGCGAGCCACGCUUAACGCUUCCCAUCAUGUGGGGCUGUGCUUGGGGGCAAUUCUGGCGGUUAGGUUUGGUGAUUCAAGUAAGCCAUCACAGCUCUGUUCGGCCAGUCAGUGAAUAUGCUCACUGCUCGUUAGUGGGGGUGAAUCGGCAAACAGGAGGCCGUCUUCUGGGUAGGCUGCCCCCCACACCCCCCAACCAGCCACAGAAGGGCAGCCUCAGUCCUGCAGGCCGAGGCCUUCUCCUGUUCACCAGUGACUGGCACAGAAGGGGGUAGGGGGUGGGAGUGAAUGGCAGUCCUUGGUUUUCUCACUGUUUCUGCUUCAGACUCAGCAUUUUCUUUUCUCACUGAAAUUCUGAAAAAAAAAAAAAAAAAAAAAUCCUACAUCUUCCUGAAUUUGACAGAAGACUUCAGGGCCCAGGCAGUAGUGGUAACAGGGUGAGGAGUGGUAGGAGACAAAACCAUUUUGCUCCAAACUCUCUUACCCCCAGUCUUUUAGGUAACAGCUUUACUGACAGAUUACUCACAUGCCAUAAAAUUUGGCCCUUGAAGCAUGCAAGUCAGUGGUUUUUAGUAUGUUCGCAGUUAUCCAGCCGUACCACCAUCUAACAGAAUAUUCUUGCCCCGAAAAGAAAGCCAUCCUUGUUAGCUAUCAUUCCCCGUUCCCCCCACCACUUCCUGUCUCUAUGAAUUUUCUUAGUCUGGAUAUUUCAUGGAGGUGGAAUCACAUAAUUUGUGAUCUUUUGUGACUGCUUCCUUCACUUAGCAAGACGUUCUCAAGAUCCCUCUGUGUAGGACGGGCCAGGAUUUCAUAGCAGAGUAACACUUUGCUGUAUGAAAACACUGCAUUUUGUGUAUCCAUUUAUCAGUUGUGGACAUUUUGAUUGUUUCAACUUUUGGGCUAGUAUGAAUAGUGAUGCUAUGAACAUCUAACACAAGCUUUUGCAUAGCCAUAAACUUUCAUUUUCAUUUGAGUGUACACACACACCACACCACACCCAGGAGCAGGACAGCUGGGUAAGAUGAUAACUUCCUGCUUAACAUUUGGAGGACCUGCUGGACUGUUCUCCAGAGCAGCUGCACUCUCUGUCCCUUUUACACCAUUACAUAAUGGCGUCUGUAAGUAGUAUGUCACGUGUCUUACAUUUGUAUACACUUGUACAGCUUCACACUCCGCUGACUUUUUCCAUGGACAUCACUUCGCUUUAUCCUGGUGAUCGAGGUGAAAGCUGAACUGAACUCUGACCAGCGCUAAAAGCAGCACCUGGUCCUUUUCUAGCUGUGAGAUCCAGGAUGGCCAGGAACUUCAUCCAUCUCCUGGAAUGUUCCUGCUCAGCAGGAGCUCAUCCUUCCUCUGCCUUCAGAAACCACAAACAGCACUGCUUGAAAAGCACCUUGCUUGGGAUCCCUCUGGGAUGAGGCCAGAUCAAAUGCCUAAAAAAUGAAUUCCUCACCUUGUCCCAUUUCAGUCCAUGUAGGCCAUUAGCUUCUCACACCUCAUAAUGCAUAUCUCUUUUUAAAAGAAAAUGAUAUAUAAUCCAGUGUCUUUAGUCCUUUUGUAUUAUGAAACUUUGCAAAUACACAAGAGAAAAACAUGACAAACUCCCAUAAACUCAUAGCCACAUUCUAGAAUAUUUGAGAAGCAAUUUAAUCUAUUUUUUUUAAUUUUUAAAAACAUUUUAUUUAUUUUUGAGAGAGACAGAGUACAAGGUGGGGAGGGGCCGAGAGAGAGGGAGACAUAGAAUCUGAAGCAGGCUCCAGGCUCUGAGAAUCAGCACAGAGCCUGAUGCGGGGCCUGAACUCGUGAACCGUGAGAUCAUGACCUGAGCCAAAGUCGGAUGCUUAACUGACUGAGCCACCCAGGCGCCCCUUCUCAAUCUCUAUUUUAAAGCCAAUUUCAGACCUUCUGUUGUCUCUCCCCUAUAUACUUCAGUAUGCAACUCUAAAAACUGUGGACAUUUUUUUAAAAACUCAAAACCAGUAUUACACCUCACAAAAAUAACAGUAGUUCCUUGGUUUUAUUAUGUAAUAAUACCUUGUUUAGGAUUUUUUUGUCUAUGUACAUGAGUAUGAUUGGCACUUACUUUCCUUCCUGUGGGUCUUUAGUUUUGCUAAUAAGCUUUUGCUAACCUCAUCAAAUGACUCAGGCAGUGUCUUUAUUUUUGCAUUUUCUGGGAUAAACUGUAAAAGAUGGCAAUUAUUUCUAACUUCAAUGUUUCAUAGAAUAUGCCCAGUAAAAAUGAUGUGGACUUGAUAUUUCUUCAUGGGAGGAUUACAUUUCCUUAACUAAGAUUGUUCAACUUUUCUUGUUCUUCUCUAAUCAGUUGUAUUCAGUUAUAGCUUUCUAGGAACUUAUGUGUUUAAGUUUUCAAGUUUAUAUUGGCAAAAAUUAUUCAUAACAUGCUCUUAAUAAAUGUUUAAAAUCAGGAACAUUUACAAUUAAAUCCUAUUUCUUUGUCUGCUUGUGCUGUCCGUUACUGAGAGAAGCAUGUGAAAAUCUCCCACUGUGGUAAUGUCAAUUUCUCCAGGUAAAUAUGGACAUUUUUUGGAAUACAUCUUGAAGCUAUGUUACUCCUUGUGUAGAUGUUUGUAAAUUAUUGUAUCUUGUGGUGCAAUCAACUUUUGGUGGCAGCUCUUAUUUCUAGUUUCUUCUUGAAGUCUGUUUUGUAUGAUAAAAAAUAAAGGCAUCAGAUUUUUUUGGUUA